rnacentral:tRNA from 1 species
GCGUUUGUGGUUUAGUGGUAAAAUCCAUCGUUGCCAUGAGAUUUAUCUCUUCAACUUCGAUGGGCCCCGGGUUCGAUUCCCGGCGAACGCA